GCUGGGUUCGGUGGCGCACACCUGUCACCCCAGCGGCUGGGGAGGCUGAGACAGGAGGAUCGCCAGUUCAAAGCCAGCCUCAGCGACAGCGAGGUCCUGAGCAGCUCAGUGAGACCCUGUCUCUA
rnacentral:sRNA from 1 species